rnacentral:rRNA from 1 species
GCGGAAGCCUGAUGCAGCGACGCCGCGUGAGGGAUGACGGCCUUCGGGUUGUAAACCUCUUUCAGCAGGGAAGAAGCGUAAGUGACGGUACCUGCAGAAGAAGCGCCGGCUAACUACGUGCCAGCAGCCGCGGUAAUACGUAGGGCGCGAGCGUUGUCCGGAAUUAUUGGGCGUAAAGAGCUCGUAGGCGGCUUGUCGCGUCGGGUGUGAAAGACCGGGGCUUAACUCCGGUUCUGCAUUCGAUACGGGCUAGCUAGAGUUCGGUAGGGGAGAUCGGAAUUCCUGGUGUAGCGGUGAAAUGCGCAGAUAUCAGGAGGAACACCGGUGGCGAAGGCGGAUCUCUGGGCCGAUACUGACGCUGAGGAGCGAAAGCGUGGGGAGCGAACAGGAUUAGAUACCCUGGUAGUCCACGCCGUAAACGGUGGGCACUAGGUGUGGGCGACAUUCCACGUCGUCCGUGCCGCAGCUAACGCAUUAAGUGCCCCGCCUGGGGAGUACGGCCGCAAGGCUAAAACUCAAAGGAAUUG